rnacentral:rRNA from 1 species
CGAGGAAUAUUGCACAAUGGACGCAAGUCUGAUGCAGUAACGCCGCGUGGGGGAAGAAGACCUUCGGGUUGUAAACCUCUUUUAUAUAGGACGAGUGAGGACGGUACUAUAGGAAUAAGUCUCGGCUAACUACGUGCCAGCAGCCGCGGUAAGACGUAGGAGGCGAGCGUUAUCCGGAUUCACUGGGCGUAAAGCGCAUGUAGGCGGUUGUGUAAGUCCGAUGUUAAAACCCCUGGCUCAACUGGGGGAGGUCAUUGGAGACUACUCGACUUGAGGGCAACAGAGGCACGUGGAACUCCCGGUGUAGCGGUGGAAUGCGUAGAGAUCGGGAAGAACACCAGUGGCGAAGGCGACGUGCUGGGGUUGCAACUGACGCUGAGAUGCGAAAGUGUGGGGAGCAAACGGGAUUAGAUACCCCGGUAGUCCACACUGUAAACGAUGAACCCUAGGUGUGGGGGGUAAAACCCGUCCGUGCCGAAGCCAACGCGUAAGGGUUCCGCC